GUGUCAGCCGCCGCGGUAAUACGGAGGAUGCGAGCGUUAUCCGGAUUUAUUGGGUUUAAAGGGUGCGUAGGCGGAUUAAUAAGUCAGUGGUGAAAACCUGCAGCUUAACUGUAGAAUUGCCAUUGAUACUGUUAGUCUUGAGUACGGUCAAAGUAGGCGGAAUGUGUAAUGUAGCGGUGAAAUGCUUAGAUAUUACACAGAACACCGAUUGCGAAGGCAGCUUACUGGGCCAUUACUGACGCUGAGGCACGAAAGCGGGGGGAGCGAACAGGAUUAGAUACCCUGGUAGUCCACGCCGUAAACGAUGAUCACUCGCUGUUGGCGAUACACAGUCAGCGGCUAAGCAAAAGCAUUAAGUGAUCCACCUGGGGAGUACGGCCGCAAGGCUGAAACUUAAAUGAAUUGACGGGG
rnacentral:rRNA from 1 species